rnacentral:rRNA from 1 species
GACGAACGCUGGCGGCGUGCUUAACACAUGCAAGUCGAACGGGCCUGUCUUCUUUUUUGGGGGGUGGGUUGAGUGGCGAACGGGUGAGUAUCACGUGAGUAACCUGCCCUUCGGUCCUGGAUAACCGCUUGAAAGGGCGGCUAAUACGGGGUGGUCCGGUUGGUCCGCAUGGGCUGGUCGGGAUAGAUUCACUGUUUUUGGUGUUUCGGCGGGGGAUGGGCUCGCGGCCUAUCAGCUUGUUGGUGGGGUGAUGGCCUACCAAGGCGGUGACGGGUAGCCGGCCUGAGAGGGUGGGCGGCCACACUGGGACUGCGAUACGGCCCAGACUCCUGCGGGAGGCAGCAGUGGGGGGUAUUGCACAAUGGGCGGAAGCCUGAUGCAGCGACGUCGCGUGAGGGAUGGAGGCCUUCGGGUUGUGAACCUCUGUUUCCGGUGGUGAAGGCCCUGUCCGUGUGGUGGGGUUGACGGUAGCCGGGGAUGAAGCGCCGGCUAACUACGUG